AAACUGUUCAAAAUAAAGUAAUCACAAAAUUACAUUAGCAUGCAAUACGUUGUAGUACAAUUAUUUUGAUUAGAAUUUAUAGAACAAGUGUACAUUUUAAAAAUUAUAAAAAAAAUUCCCUUUGGCUAAAAAAGUAAAGAAUACAGAAACCCCAUGUAGACCAUUUAAUAUAAUUGCACUCGAGUUCACUGGGUAUCACUAAUGCAAAC
rnacentral:lncRNA from 1 species